AGGAGGAACAACCACAGUGGUGGGGCCAGCUCCAGAAACCUGGAUUCAGCUCCCACAAUAACUACGGAGCUCUCCAUCUGCAGAGGCCUGGAUGCUCCGGGGGCAA
rnacentral:pre_miRNA from 1 species